rnacentral:tRNA from 1 species
GGAGGGAUGGCAGAGUGGUCGAAUGCGCCCGACUUGAAAUCGGGUAGGGGUCAAAAGCCUCUCGGGGGUUCGAAUCCCUCUCCCUCCG